rnacentral:rRNA from 1 species
GCAGCAGUCGAGAGGCUUCGGCAAUGGGGGAAACCCUGACCGAGCGACGCCGCGUGGGUGAUGAAGAUCCUUGGAUCGUAAAACCCUGUCAGGUGGGAUGAACUGCCAUUUGGUUAAUACCUGAGUGGUUUGACAGUACCGCCAGAGGAAGCUCCGGCUAACUCCGUGCCAGCAGCCGCGGUAACACGGGGGGAGCAAACGUUGUUCGGAUUCAUUGGGCGUAAAGGGUGCGUAGGUGGCGUGGAAAGUUGAGUGUGAAAUCCUAGGGCUUAACCUUAGAACUGCACUCAAUACUCCCAUGCUAGAGGAAUGUAGAGGAGAGUGGAAUUCACGGUGUAGCAGUGAAAUGCGUAGAUAUCGUGAGGAAGACCAGUUGCGAAGGCGACUCUCUGGGCAUCUCCUGACACUGAGGCACGAAGGCUAGGGGAGCAAACGGGAUUAGAUACCCCGGUAGUCCUAGCAGUAAACGGUGCACGUUUGGUGUGGGCAGGCUCAGACCCUGUCCGUGCCGGAGCUAACGCGUUAAACGUGCCGCCUGGGAAGUACGGUCGCAAGAUUAAAACUCAAAGAAAUUGACGGGGGCCCGCACAAGCGGUGGAGUAUGUGGCUUAAUUCGAUGCAACGCGAAGAACCUUACCAGGCCUUGACAUGCACUAGACAGACGCUGAAAGGCGUUCUCCCUUCGGGGCUGGUGCACAGGUGCUGCAUGGCUGUCGUCAGCUCGUGUCGUGAGAUGUUGGGUUAAGUCCCGCAACGAGCGCAACCCCUGUGUCCUGUUGCCUGCAAAGGCUCUCUGGACAGACUGCCCUGUGAAACGGGGAGGAAGGUGGGGAUGACGUCAAGUCAGUAUGGCCCUUACGACCAGGGCUGCACACGUACUACAAUGCCCAGUACAGAAUGACCCGAAGCCGCGAGGUAGAGGAAAUCUCAAAAACUGGGCCCAGUUCGGAUUGAAGGCUGCAACUCGCCUUCAUGAAGCCGGAAUCGCUAGUAAUGGCGCAUCAGCUACGGCGCCGUGAAUACGUUCCCGGGCCUUGUACACACCGCCCGUCACAUCAUGGAAGUCGUUUGUAGCCGAAGUGCGUGAGCUAACCGUAAGGAAGCAGCGCCCUACGCUAUGAGCGGUAACUGGGAUGAAGUCGUAACAAGGUAGCCGUAGGGGAACCUGCGGCUG